UACGGAGGGUGCAAGCGUUAUCCGGAUUCACUGGGUUUAAAGGGUGCGUAGGAGGGCAGGUAAGUCAGUGGUGAAAUCUUCGAGCUUAACUCGGAAACUGCCGUUGAUACUAUCUGUCUUGAAUAUUGUGGAGGUGAGCGGAAUAUGUCAUGUAGCGGUGAAAUGCUUAGAUAUGACAUAGAACACCAAUUGCGAAGGCAGCUCGCUACACAUAUAUUGACUCUGAGGCACGAAAGCGUGGGGAUCAAACAGG
rnacentral:rRNA from 2 species